rnacentral:snRNA from 1 species
ACUAAACAAUGUCUUUAUC